rnacentral:rRNA from 1 species
GAUGAACGCUGGCGGCGUGCCUAAUACAUGCAAGUCGAACGAACAGAUAAGGAGCUUGCUCCUUUGACGUUAGCGGCGGACGGGUGAGUAACACGUGGAUAACCUACCUAUAAGACUGGGAUAACUUCGGGAAACCGGAGCUAAUACCGGAUAACAUAUUGAACCGCAUGGUUCAAUAGUGAAAGGCGGCUUUGCUGUCACUUAUAGAUGGAUCCGCGCCGUAUUAGCUAGUUGGUAAGGUAACGGCUUACCAAGGCAACGAUACGUAGCCGACCUGAGAGGGUGAUCGGCCACACUGGAACUGAGACACGGUCCAGACUCCUACGGGAGGCGGCAGUAGGGAAUCUUCCGCAAUGGGCGAAAGCCUGACGGAGCAACGCCGCGUGAGUGAUGAAGGUCUUCGGAUCGUAAAACUCUGUUAUCAGGGAAGAACAAAUGUGUAAGUAACUGUGCACAUCUUGACGGUACCUGAUCAGAAAGCCACGGCUAACUACGUG